rnacentral:lncRNA from 1 species
CCAUGAAAACUUUUGAAAUGCAGUUAUGGAGACACUUAUCAAUUUAUUCAUUUGUAAAAUGAGAUAUUGAGAUUACAUGACCUCCAAGUUCCUUUAAACCCUAUCAUUCUACACCAAGCUGCUCAGUGUCACUAUUUUAUUACAAAACAGAUCUCAUAACCUUUUACAACCCACACAACACUCUGCAGAGGUUUUCUGUUUUUUCCUCUAUUUUCAUGACCCUAAAUAAUAGUAUUGAGCCCUCUUAAUUGAGUUGUACAUUAUUAAAACAAUAGGUAAACAGAAUAUGUUUUUUGAACAAUAAAGAACCCUUAGAAGUAGUGGGUCCAUCUACAUAUUCCACUGAGAAUUGCUGGAGUAUUUCAGUGGUUUCCAAGGGCAAGCCUAUGUUUGUUUUCACUGUUCAGUGAAAAAUGAGAAAAAUUCAGAGAGCCUAAGAUUUUAAAAUAAAUAAUUUACAAAAUAUUUGGGAAAUUAAAUCUUUCUUUGGCUUUUUGUGGUGGAAUGUUCAUUCUUUUAUGAAAUGAAGUUUUUAUUAUUAGUUAAGACUUUCAUCUUCUGAUAAAUACAAAAAAGUCUUAAAAUCACUGGUGUUCAUUUUACCUUUUUUAAUAUUUUUAUUUCUUUUAUCUCAUUAUCACCAAAUUAGUAAAUUUGAUUUUGUCUAUGGACUAAAGUCUGUAUGUCAAGAUCUUAAUUUGUAUUCCUGGAAUACCAAAAUUCUGAGUUACAUGGAUUAUUGUUUAUGUGCAUAAAUGCAAUUACAGAUCUAGGAAAUCUAGUCUACCUUUUAUAACAAGCUAUUAAAAUAAUUAAAUUAACAACAAAAAUGAUUAUUAAAAAACCUGUAUUGUUUUAUUAUCUUAAAAUUUGUAGAUUAUUUGCUUUCUACAUUUAAACAUUAACAUUUCUUUGAAAUUGUAAAUAGUAGCUAUUAGGCUUUCUUUCAUGUUUUGACAUAGUAAUUUCUAUAAAAAGCCAUAUUUGUAUCUAUUAUUACUUUUAAUAUUUCUAUUUCUCAUAGUGCUUGGUACAGUUCUGGGCAAAGAAAAUGAUAUUUAAAACACACGUUUUGCUUUUUGGACUGACUGACAGCUAACUGUUGGGGCAAAUUUUUAAUUUCCUCAGAAAAAUAAGUAUUUCUCUUUUAUAAACCAGUCUAAAAUAAUAAGCUAAAAUAAAUCCAUAUUUUGCCAGGUAAAUAAUAUAUUAUUUAAAUAAAGUAAAAUUCAUAGAAUAUACUGUAGUCUCUGGCCUACGCCAGAGCCACAGCAACACGGGAUCCGAGCCACGUCAGCAACCUACACCACAGCUCAUGGCAACGCCGGAUCAUUAACCCACUGAGCGAGGCCAGGGACCAAACCCGCAACCUCAUGGUUCCUAGUUGGAUUUGUUAACCACUGCGCCACGACGGGAACUUCCUACAUUGAGUUAAUUUCUAAUGUAUAAUCUAUUUUCCUAUUUUCAAAAACAUAUACUUUACAGUUUGGUAAGGCAUAUCUUAGAAGAUAUUUAUAUUGUCCAGGUUAAACUUAGGAGAGAAGCAAACAAAUACAGUGACUUUAAAUAAAGGUAGGAAGUUGCAGCUCAAUGACAGAGAAAAGAAAUUCUGAUUCAAUAAAGUGUUUUUCUUUCCAUUCCCAUCAAAAACUAGGAAGUAUGCGAGGCUGAAAUCUUUGCAGGUCUGUCCUAUUAUUCUUGGAAGUGAAUGUUGUAUUGGAUUAGUUACCUGUUUUUGGACAGUGAAUAAUUGAUGUCCAUAAAUCACUUUGAAGAUCAAUAGCAAUUCCUAAGUUCUAAUAAUUUUUAUUAGGAUGAUUUUUCCCAUAAAUAUAGUGACUUUUUGCAAUGGCACUUUGAAAAAGCAUGAGUUAGUGACUGAGAACAUGUAUCAAGCCAAGAGGAGAAGAGUAAUUGAGAAGUUUGAAAGGUACUAAUUUUGAGAUAUCAAAUUUUAGAUGAAUUAAUAAUAGCCUGUGUGGACUAAAUAAUAUUAAUUCAAACAUGAAGUAAUCUACAUCUAUUUAUGAUUGAAUUUCAAGCUUGUGAAGUAAAUGUCAUAACAAGAGAAUAUGUUCCUGAUAUUUACUCAUAAAAAACCUCAAGUAUUCUCAGAGGCUUCAGAUAGCAAUGAUUAUGGGUGUAGGCAACCUUUAUUGCCUUUAGUUGGAGUAGUUAUAAAAUCUCCCAAAGUAACUCUCAGCAGAUAAAUUUUAGCCUAUUUUUGUUGACAACAAAGAGUAACUGAAUACAUUACUGGCUUUUUACACCAGAUCACUUAAUUUAUCUAUUUAAAAGUGAAAGUGAUAUCAUCCUAAAUUAUUGUUAUAUUUAGAGUUGCAAACUCAUACAGAGGUAUUUUCAUCCUUUUAAAUUCUUAAGUGAGUAUAGCCUUUAAAAGUUUCUAAAAAAUCGGACUUCCCAUCAUGGUGCAGUGAAAACAAAUAUGACUAGGAACCAUGAGGUUGCAGGUUCAAUCCCUGGCCUCGCUCAUGAGGAUCUGGUAUCACCAUGUGCUGUGAUGUGGGUUGUGGACACAGCUCGGAUCUGGCAUUGCUGUGGCUGUGGCAUAGGCCGGCGGCUGCAGCUCCGAUUCGACCCCUAGCCUGGGAACCUCCAUAUGCUGCAGUGCGGCCCUAAAAAAAAGACAAAAAGACAAAAAAAAGAAAAGAAAAGAAAAGAAGUUUCUAAAAAAUAGAGGGGAAGGAUCAAGAUGGAGGAGAAGACGUCGCAUGCUUACCUUCUUCCACAAACACAUCAAAAAAACACAUCAACAUGUAAAACCACUCACACAAAACAUCUACUGAAUACUGGCAGAUGAACUUAUACCUCCAAAAGGGCAAGAAACUCUUGACAUAACUGGGUAGAACAAAAGAAAAAAAGAGAGAGAGAGAGAGAAAAGGAAUCAGGAUGAGAGUAGCAUUACUGAGAGGGAGCUGUGAAAGGGAAAAGGAACCCACAUCCUGGGAAGCCACCUUACCAACAGGGAGAUCAGCUGAGAUGGAGGGACCUCAAAGUCACCAAGAAAAGCUCAGCAGAUGGACCGAGGAGGGCAAAGUAGAGUGAGCACAGAUCAUCUGUACCACUGGCCCAGAUACCACAGCUUGAGAUGAUUGGGCAGGGGCUGGGCACUAAAACUUAGGCUCCAGAGGUCAGUUCCGGGGAGAGGACUAGGGUUGGCAGCGUGGGGACAGCCUGAAAGGGUAAGGAGCAAUGUGCCAUGGAGGGGGGAGCAGUGUGUUACAGGCUGGGGAGUAGAACACCAAGGAAUAGGGAACCAGGGAGGAGAUCUGGGCCCACAGGAGAAACAAGGCACCAUUGUUGGGAAGGGCAAGAGGAGGAGGGGUGGACUGCCAUAGGAAUCUCCUUGUACACACGCAGAAGGGCUCUCAGAGGGUGGGGUGACUCUGCUGCAGGUUACUAGUGGCGAGAAGCCACUUGCUCGGUCUAUGGGAGGCCAGGCACUUCUUGUGCCAGCUCUGGGUGACCAGGCACCUCUUGUGAGGGCUAAGGGAAGUGGAAGGGCUAAGUAUGAUGUGGUGCUUCUUGCAUGAUUUAUAGGCAGCAGGGACAGAUAGUGGAGGGAGGUGUGGCCUACCACCACCAGGGGCCUGUGAGUGGCCUCCACCUGUGGCCCCAGUCACAUCAGGGGGUGGCCAAAAAAAAGAGUGCACUGCAACAGAAUACCACCCAUUGUUGCUCUCACUCCCCUAGGAACAUACCUGCCCUGCUGCUGCCACUGGCAAAUGCUCUAGGCAGUGCUCAGAUGCUUCAUCACUGUCCCUUCCCAAGACUCUGCAAUUAGGAGCAGCUGGUGCAGCACCUCCUACGUGGGCUAAGUGGGACAGGGUGCUUCUUGCAUAGUCUACAGGUGGCAGGGGCAAAGCACCAUGGUAAUCUCUGACUCCAGAGGUUGGCGUGGCACGUCAUCACUAGGGGUCCAUGAUCAGGUACCACUUGCAAUACCAAUCACCUCAGAGGGCACCUCAGAGGAGGGCAUUGUGACCGAACACUACCUGUUGAUGCUCUCAAACCACUGGGAACUCACCCACCCUGCUGCUACCACUGCCAAACACCCCAGACAGUGCCCACAUGCUUGAUCACUGUCACUUUUCAAGAUCCUGCUACUAGGAGCAGCUGGUUCAGCACUUGCUGCACGGACUAAGCAGGACAGGAUGCUUCUUGCAUGGUCUGCAGGUGAUGGGAGCAAACCACUGCAGUUAUCUCUGACUCCAGAGGUGGGCGGGCUCCACCACCAGUAGGGGUCCGUGAACAAGCAGCACUUGCGGCCCUAAACACCUCAAGAGCAUGACAAAGGAGGACACUGCAACCAAACACUACCUGUUGUUGCUUUUGCAUCUCUGGGAGCAUACCAGCUCUGAGCAGCACCCAGAUGCUUGAUCACUGUCACUUCCUAGGACCCUGCAAUUAGGAGCAGCCUAUGCAGCACUUCCCUUGUGUGCUAAGUGGGACGGGGUGCUUCUUGCAUGGUUUGCAGGUGGCAGGGGCAGAACACUGCAGUUAUUACUGAUUCCAGAGGUGGGCCACCACUACUAGGGGUCCCAGAACAAGCACCACUUAUGACCCCAAUCACCUCAAAGGAGGGCACUGCAAUUGACAUUACCUGUUCUUGCUCUCA